rnacentral:rRNA from 1 species
CAGCCGCCGCGGUAAUACGUAGGUGGCAAGCGUUGUCCGGAAUUAUUGGGCGUAAAGGGCUCGCAGGCGGUUUCUUAAGUCUGAUGUGAAAGCCCCCGGCUCAACCGGGGAGGGUCAUUGGAAACUGGGAAACUUGAGUGCAGAAAAGGAGAGUGGAAUUCCACGUGUAGCGGUGAAAUGCGUAGAGAUGUGGAGGAACACCAGUGGCGAAGGCGACUCUCUGGUCUGUAACUGACGCUGAGGAGCGAAAGCGUGGGGAGCGAACAGGAUUAGAUACCCGGGUAGUCCCUGUCUCUUAUAC